AGUGAUUCCAGAGUGCUACCAGGGUUGAAACCAGCGGCAAAGAUCUUUCUUCAGCUCCGCAGGCGUGUCAGGCGCGCCGGUGCGACUUGCUCGUCCCUCCACGAACCCAAACGCGCCACCCAGGUGACAGGUCUCGGCUGCUCGGGGGCUACUCACCCGCUUCAGGUGCAGCUCCCGGAAUUUGCGCAGCCUCUGUUCGCGCUUCUGGGCGGCCAGCUCCGCGGGGGCCGCGAGGGUCUGCUCCGCCUCUUCCACGCUGUCCACCGGCACCUGCGGCGAGGAGGACCGGCUGGAGGCGGGGCGGCCCGGGCGGAUUCCCCGCCGGUGCCACGGAGCCGGGCCGAGAGCGCACAGCCGCCCGACCCCACGGUGUGUGCGCCUCCCUCCCUGGCAUCGCCUGUACGUGUAGGCCAAACCGCUAGCCGCAGACGUCCUUAUCCCCAACCCCUGGGCAAAGCCCGCCACCCACCUUCCCAGCCACGGCCUCCUGAGCGGCCAUCACCCGGCAGCGCUCUACCCCUCAGACUUCUGGCAACAACAAAUAACUUCUCCGACUCUCUCGCUCACUUCCGGCCGCCGGCAGCCACAGGUUUCGGGGGACCCGGGCCCUCAUCGGGAGAUGAGGAACCAAUCCCCGUCCGUCGAAGCCCUGGGCGGCAUCCGAUUGGGCCAGGCCUGUGCACCCGGGACAUUGAGCAGCGACACCUGGGCGACGCGGAUAAAACCAGAGAAGAGACCUGGCGUCUGCGCCGUCGGGACGGUGCCACUCAUUGGAAGGACCCAAUGAGAAGAGAGCAAUAAACAAGAGAGCUUAUUGACACAGUCCAUAGAGGCCAGCACUCGUGGGUGCAGAACAGAGUGGACACUGGUGGAAGGUGGUUCUAAAGGAGCAAACAAAAUAUCUAGCACAGCUCUGUUCAUGGAACAUGGUAAAAAUUUCGUAAUUUUUUGAGGUCUCAGAAGAGCUCUUUGGUCAAGUUAUAUUUGCAUAGAUUUAGUAACAAGAACAGAAGAAGAUGUGUGGUCAAUUGAAUUUUCCAAGAUGAUAGAAGAUCUUCCAUCCUAUGUGCUAUUCUUACAAGGUGACAUUGACACACCUUCCAAGGAGAGGUAAGAUCUAUGUCCCUAAUCCUUGAAUAUGUGACUGGAAGAAGUGACACUAUGUGAUUUCUGAGGCUAAGUCUUAAAAGGGAAAACAGAUUCCACCUGGUUCUCUUGGGAUGCUUGUUUUUUGAACUCAGUCACCAUUCUUUGAGGAAGCCCAGCCCAAAUGGAGAGGUCAUGUAGGCCUGAAAAUUGGUACAACCCUUAGGGAGGGCAAUUUGGCAAUAUUUAUAAAAAUUACAAAGACAUUUACUCUUUGACUCCACUAUUACACUUCUGGGGAUUUAUCCUACAAGUGCAAUUGCACAGGUAUAAAAUGACUUAUGUACAAGGAUUGCUUAGGGCAUCUGUUUUCUCAUAUGAUUUAGUAAAGAUGACAAGAUAGCAGAUUCACUGGGCGAGAAUGAACAAUAUUCUUUGUUGGCUGUCGUUUAAAGCUUGUUGGGGAAAAACAAAAAAAAUAUAAAAAAUAAAAUAAAAUAAAGCUUGUUGGGUAAAUUUGGU
ensembl:lncRNA